rnacentral:rRNA from 1 species
UACAGAGGUCCCAAGCGUUGUUCGGAUUCACUGGGCGUAAAGGGUGCGUAGGCGGUCGAGUAAGUCUGACGUGAAAUCUCCGGGCCUAACCCGGAAACUGCGUUGGAAACUACUUGGCUAGAGGAAUGGAGGGGAGACUGGAAUACUUGGUGUAGCAGUGAAAUGCGUAGAUAUCAAGUGGAACACCAGUGGCGAAGGCGGCACUCUGGGCCGGAACUGACGCUGAGGAGCGAAAGCGUGGGGAGCGAACAGG